CGUCAGUAGUCUAUUAUAUAAUAAGUUCAACUGUUCAUGCUGUUGGCGGCAAUUUCAAAUUAGAAAAAAGAAAUUUUCGUAGAGUUUCAAUUUGGAGGCAGGUGUGCAAAUUAGCGGUGGUCCGAGGUCCGCGACCUUCCACUUUUGCAAGCGGAAUUUCGACUAGGAUAGUUGGUUUUCUAGCUACGCCCGACGUAGUUACCUUCCACUUGAAAGAAAAUAAGAAAUUUCUUUGCAAACCUUCCAUGCAAAGUCUCCAAUUAAACGAGCUAAAAACUUAUUUUUAUCAUUAUUAUUCAUGACAGCGAUGUUCAUUUUGUUCAACCGCUAGCUUUAUACAGAAAAUCGCCGACAAAUAUUGUAUAAAUUCGAGUAAAAUCGUAUCUGAUUGACAAAAACAACAUUGUAAACACUUAACAAUGGCGGCAGUGAAGACAAAAUUUUACAAUAUCGGAUCCGAUUCCGGAAGCGGAUAAGGAUAAUUCCGGGUUUGGCGAUCAAUUACAAAAUAAAUCAAAGCAGGUGAAAAAAUAAAUCUAUGCAUGGUAAAUGAAUAUAAACACUAGAAUUGUAAACCAAAAGAUAUAUGUAAAAGAAAGAAAAAGCAGAAAAAUAUUUUAUACAGAAACUCAAAAUUACUUUUUGACAAAUUUUAAUUUAAAAAUCCAAUACAAAGUGACAGCUGGGAACAGUAUAUCUAACAAUAUACAUGUUCAUGGUCACAGUUUAAAUUUUCUUUAUCAGUGAUAAAUGAUGAUAAUGCAUAUGAGAUGCUUUUAACAUACCUGCCAACUGUCACUAUUUGCGGGGGAUUUCCCCCAUGGAGGCUCCAAAAUUGAAAUUUUGAAAGAGCAAUUUUGUCCACAAUCUAAACAAAACAAUUUAUUUUGCAAUGACUUAAGGCUUAUAAAAGUAUGAAGAAGCAAAAAAAAACAACAUUAAAAGGUAUUUGAAGCCCCCCUAGAAGGUUUUUUUAGGACUCUGACAUCCAUCUUGCACGCAAAACCCCCAUGGGGAUUUUGAAAAAUUGGCAGGUAUGUUUUAAAGUGUAACAUAUUACUGCAAUUUCGAAG
rnacentral:lncRNA from 1 species